AUUGAACGCUGGCGGCAGGCCUAACACAUGCAAGUCGAGCGGGGUUUUCGGACCUAGCGGCGGACGGGUGAGUAAUGCGUAGGAAGCUGCCCGAUAGAGGGGGAUACCAGUUGGAAACGACUGUUAAUACCGCAUAAUGUCUACGGACCAAAGUGUGGGACCUUCGGGCCACAUGCUAUCGGAUGCGCCUACGUGGGAUUAGCUAGUUGGUGAGGUAAUGGCUCACCAAGGCGAUGAUCUCUAGCUGGUUUGAGAGGAUGAUCAGCCACACUGGAACAGAGAAACGGUCCAGACUCCUACGGGAGGCAGCAGUGGGGAAUAUUGGACAAUGGGCGCAAGCCUGAUCCAGCCAGGCCGCGUGUGUGAAGAAGGCCUUCGGGUUGUAAAGCACUUUCAGCGAGGAGGAAGGGGUGUGUGUUAAUAGUACACACCUUUGACGUUACUCGCAGAAGAAGCACCGGCUAACUCUGUGCCAGCAGCCGCCGCCGUAA
rnacentral:rRNA from 1 species